AUGAUGGCGGUGGAAAGAAAAACACAAGGAGUUGGAAAAAAAGCUAGGGUUGGUGCGGUGGGAAGUAAAACACAAGCUAGGGUUGGUGCGGUGGGAAGUAAAACAGAAGGAGUUGGAAAAAGGGUUAGGGUUAAUUGGAAUGUGCCAUAUUGGAAAGCCUUCCUAAUUGCAAUACGAGGUCCAAAUGGCAAGAAGAAGAAGAAGGCUGCUGAAAUUAAAUAUUUGGCUAGACUUAAACAGCAGCUUUCCGACAAAAAGAAUGGACUCCUUCCCGAGGUCUAUAUCGGAUAUCCCAAACCAAAGAUGAUGUCAAGAUUAUCUUAUCGCGAAUAG